GUACUCGCUUUGGCAUCACAUAUGCUAAAAUUGAAAUGAUACUGAGAAGAUUAGCAUGACCCCUACGCAAGGAUGACACACAAAUUCCUGAAGCGUUCCAUAUUUUU